rnacentral:rRNA from 2 species
GCCAAGAAAAGAACCUAUCCCAGGUAUAGACAUCCUCAGACAAACCUAGAGAUAGGAAUUUCCCCUUAGGGGGACAGAGUGACAGGAGGUGCAUGGUUAUAUCAGCUCGUGUCGUGAGAUGUUGGGUUAAGUACCGCAACGAGCGCAACCCUUGAUUUUAGUUGCCAGCAUUCAGUUGGGCACUAUAAGAUGACCGCCGGAGACACGCCGGAGGAAGGUGGGGAUGACGUCAAAUCAUCAUGCCCAUUAUGACCUGGGCUACACACGUGCUACAAUGGACGGUACAAAGGGCAGCGAGACCGCGAGGUUUAGCCAAUCCCAUAAAACCGUUCUCAGUUCGGAUUGUAGGCUGCAACUCGCCUACAUGAAGCUGGAAUCGCUAGUAAUCGCGGAUCAGCAUGCCGCGGUGAAUACGUUCCCGGGCCUUGUACACACCGCCCGUCACACCACGAGAGUUUGUAACACCCGAAGUCGGUGAGGUAACCUUUGGAGCCAGCCGCCUAAGUUGAAAAAAAAAU